UGAGCACAGUUUGCUCA
rnacentral:misc_RNA from 1 species